rnacentral:misc_RNA from 1 species
GAUGAAGAACGUAGCGAAAUGCGAUAAGUAGUGUGAAUUGCAGAAUUCAGUGAAUCAUCGAGUCUUUGAACGCACAUUGCGCCUUCUAGUAUUCUGGGAGGCAUGCCUGUUUGAGCGUCAUUAAACCUCUCUCAAGUAUGAUUACUUGGAUGUGAAGGAAGAGUACCUUAAACUUAAGGAGUGUUCUCCUUUGAAAUUGAUUAGCAGAUGGUAAUGUUAUUAAAUCCCUGAUGUUGUAAGAAAUAACAGUGGUUUUGUAGACUAUUAUCUAGCUUUAAAUUAUAAUUUUUAUUAUGGUUGACCUCAAAUCAGGUAAGGAUACCCGCUGAACUUAAGCAUAUCAAUAAGCGGAGGA